rnacentral:rRNA from 1 species
AUUGAACGCUGGCGGCAGGCCUAACACAUGCAAGUCGAACGAGUGGCGGACGGGUGAGUAAUGUCUGGGGAACUGCCCGAUGGAGGGGGAUAACUACUGGAAACGGUAGCUAAUACCGCAUACCAUCGGAUGUGCCCAGAUGGGAUUAGCUAGUAGGUGGGGUAAAGGCUCACCUAGGCGACGAUCCCUAGCUGGUCUGAGAGGAUGACCAGCCCCACGGGAACUGAGACACGGUCCAGACUCCUACGGGAGGCCGCAGUGGGGAAUAUUGCACAAUGGGCGCAAGCCUGAUGCAGCCAUGCCGCGUGUAUGAAGAAGGCCUUAGGGUUGUAAAGUACUUUCAGCGGGGAGGCGUUACUCGCAGAAGAAGCACCGGCUAACUCCGUGCCAGCAGCCGCGGUAAUUC